GAUGAACGCUAGCGGCAGGCCUAAUACAUGCAAGUCGAACGAUAGAAGAGGGCUUGCUCUCUUCGAAAGUGGCGCACGGGUGCGUAACGCGUAUGCAACCUACCUUAAUCAGGGGGAUAGCCCGAAGGAAUUCGGAUUAACACCGCAUAAAAUCACAGUACAGCAUUGUACAAUGAUCAAAUAUUUAUAGGAUUAAGAUGGGCAUGCGUGACAUUAGCUAGUUGGCGGGGUAACGGCCCACCAAGGCGACGAUGUCUAGGGGAUCUGAGAGGAUGACCCCCCACACUGGUACUGAGACACGGACCAGACUCCUACGGGAGGCAGCAGUAAGGAAUAUUGGUCAAUGGAGGCAACUCUGAACCAGCCAUGCCGCGUGCAGGAGGACGGCCCUCUGGGUUGUAAACUGCUUUUAUUCGGGAAUAAACCUCAUUACGUGUAAUGAGCUGAAUGUACCGAAGGAAUAAGGAUCGGCUAACUCCGUGCCAGCCGCCGCCGUAA
rnacentral:rRNA from 1 species